AAGCGAGUUGGUUGUUAGCCUUCGACGGGAGCCCUCGAGAUCUUGUGUCAUUCACCGGGGAUACGAGUGUCAACGACUGCCGAACGAGUGUGAUGACCGUUACACGUUGUGGCGUGAAAUUGGUUGGACGUUUUGCCGACAUGGGCAGCUUGGAGAUACAAAUUCUGUGACGUCGCUGGGAACAAAAUUUGAAGGGAAGCGGUGAAGCUGUGGAAACCGCUCCCUCGUAUUGUGUACUUGAUAUGGAAAAUGGACGGAUAACUGUCAGUGCGGCCUCGACAUACCAUGGCUGGUUUAUAAAAUGAACCCCUUUGAAUCUUGCUGGGAAGCAGUCUUGUAAGCCAUUUAUCAUUAGCUUUAAAACACGAGGAUUCAGCUUGGAUGACUGACUGAAUGCAAAUCCACUCCAGUCGACAAUGAAGAUAAAGCCACUUACUUGAUUUCGUGGCAAUUCAAUAAGUUUUUCCAGAGAGUAAAGAAUGGCUUUAUAUAUUGUAAGCAAAUCAUAUGAAGAAGGAUCCCAAUUAGCAGCAAAAAUCACAAGAACUCUUCUUCCUCUCCUGUAAAACACAGAAAGUUCAAACCAUUAAUAACUGUUAAUUUUGUGUAAUAAGGACUGUAUCUGUCUGGCAAAUGAAAUAUUAUGAAAAGGAUAUACUGCUAUUUCCCAUAUAGUGGAGAUGAUGAAUUGCAGAUAGGCACAACAAAAAGACUGUUAAACUUGUAAGCUUUAAUGAGUAUAGUGAGCACGGGAACUGCAAAUGUAGUGUGUGGUCAGUAAGUUGGAAAUGUGGGUCUCUUGGGGAGUGUGCCAGAGAUAAGUCCUUGCAGUCGCACUGUCCUCUGUGUCCUUGGUGGCUCAGUUAGACAGACCGUCUGCCAUGUAAGCAGGAGAUCCUCGGCUUCGAGUCCCGGUCGGAGCACACAUUUUCAACUGUCCCCAUUGAUAUUUAUUAACACCUGUAAGCACCUAAUGGUCUGGAUUCCAUUGUAAUUUCAUUCUUUGAGAGCUGCAAGAUCACCAAUGGUAUCUGUUCUUUUGGACAUGUCUGGAAGAACAGAUACCAACUACAUAUUUGUUAGUCAUUGUCCUUCACACACCAUCCCCUUCCUUGUUCUUACACCACAGACUUCUAUUCCACAAGUGCACCUGCAGUAUUUUUACUUCUCUUGUGCCCCCUCUGUCUAACCUCCCGACUGCACCUAGCUCCCCUACCCUCUCUCCACCUCGCCCCUGUAUGCUCCCACAAACAGUACUUUACCACCCCCACCCACCCAUAUCCUACUCUCUCUCUCUCCUCCCCAUCUCAGCCUCCUCCUUACCCCUAUCACCCACAAUGCUUCUCCCAUCAUGCACAAUUGGCCCCGGCACCCAGAGACAGCAGUUGUGUGUGUGUGUGUGUGUGUGUGUGUGUGUGUGAGGGUUUUUUUUUCCCCUACUUCAGAAGGUCUUCUGACUGAAAGCUUAUGUGUUUAAUAGUCUUUUCAUUGCGCCUACCUGCGACUCAACAUCCCUGCUAUAUGGUGAGUAGCAAUCUACCCUUUUCAUAAUAUUGUUGUUAUUCCAUCCUGGAUUUUCCAUUUUUUGACAACGUAAUAUUAUUUUACAUAACAAAUACUUAAAACUCUUCUUUGAUUUACUUGUUUUACAUUAUGAUUUAAAAUAAAUUAGUAAAAACUAAGAAAUACAAUGGAACAGCUCUAUUGUUAUGUCUGUGUUCUAGGUAAUCCCUGUACACCAAUGUCAUGAGUAAAUACAUGACACAGAUAUGUAUCAGCAAGUUAACGAGACCAUCUUCUGAACUAUUUCUAAAAAUAAUGUCCAAUUAUCCAAAAGAAAAAAUAAGGAUGAAAUAUGUAUGCAUCUAACUUUUAAAUUUAUCAGUCAGAUGUUAACUGCUGCAUGUGGGAUGAUAUGACUGGUGCCAUCAAGUUUUUACAGUUAGUUGUUUUGUUCGCUGGGUGUGUUAGGUGCUGCCAGUGUGGGAAGCUUAUCAAGUUAACAUUUCCUUUCUCAAAGCAGAGAUCUGUAUAUGAGGUGGUGUCCUCGGAUUAAUGACUUGAUAUCGAUUAGGAGCAGUUCCUGGUUUGAGCAAUCUAGCCUGGCUUGCAAGAUAUUGUGUUGUUGACUUACAGUUUGUGUUACUGUAAUCCUAUCUAGUUUGGAGCGCAUGAGACUGGUGUGAGAGAGAGGUGCGUGUUGGACUAGUGUUUUUUCUUUUGUGAAGUGUGUACCGAGUUUAUUAAGCACAGGAGGGGUGGGGUGGGAGCUAUAGCUCUGGAAAUUGAUGAAUUUCAGUUUGGAAAAGCUAAUAGUCAGAGAGGGGAUCAUACUGCAGGAACACGGAUGGCUGCUUGUUUGUGGAGGGUGCCUUUUCUGAUGUGGUUUUGUAGGCUGGUGGACAUUUUUUGGUUAAUAUUUGUUUUGGAAUGGUGUCAUGAUUCUUAUUGUCAUAUUUUUCAUUUUUCCCUGCUCAAAACAUUCUACUUCCGGUGACUGUCCCA